rnacentral:misc_RNA from 1 species
GAAAUGCGAUAAGUAAUGCGAAUUGCAGAAUUCUCGUGAGUCAUCGAAUCUUUGAACGCACAUUGCGCCCUUUGGUAUUCCGAAGGGCAUGCCUGUUCGAGCGUCAUUUUCACCCCUCAAGCCCCCGGCUUGGUGUUGGACGGUCUGGUCCGGGGACCUCAAACCCCCUGGACCCCUCCCAAAGACAAUGACGGCGGGCUGUUGAACCCCCGGUACACUGAGCAUCUUCACGGAGCACGUACCGGUCUCAAGGGUCGACGGCACCCGGUCUAUACCUAUAUUUUUCAAGGUUGACCUCGGAUCAGGUAGGAAUACCCGCUGAACUUAAGC